rnacentral:lncRNA from 1 species
GCCUUAGAAAAAAAAAGAUGUGGGCUGGCCUGGCUCUAACCCAUAGCCCACGUGGGCUAGGACUAGGUUGGGUUUUUAUGGCCUCUUUUAAUAAGUGGGCCGAGCCUUGCCCAACCCACAUAAUCACAGUCUAUGCACAUGAGUUAGGGCCAGGCCGGUCUAUUUUGGCAGCUCUACCUACAGAUUAGAGCUAUCAAAAUAGGCCAAGGCCCAUGGG